UUAUUAUUUUGGCAGAUUAGUGCUUUAAAUUUAGAAUUUAAAUAUAUGAUUAUAUCAUAAAUAAUAC
rnacentral:tRNA from 1 species